UAACGAAUCUUCCGCAAUGCACGAAAGUGUGACGGAGCGACGCCGCGUGGAGGACGAAGUUCUUCGGAAUGUAAACUCCUGUCAGGGGAAAGAAAGUUCUGAUCUACCCCAGAGGAAGAGGCGGCUAACUCUGUGCCAGCAGCCGCGGUAAUACAGAGGCCUCGAGCGUUAGACGGAAUCACUGGGCUUAAAGCGUGUGUAGGCGGAAGGGUAAGUACCUUGUGAAAUCCCACGGCUUAACCGUGGAACGGCUUGGUAUACUGCUUUUCUUGAGCAAUCUAGGGGCGAGUGGAACAGAUGGUGGAGCGGUGAAAUGCGUAGAUAUCAUCUGGAACGCCAAUGGUGAAGACAACUCGCUGGGAUUUGCUGACGCUGAGACACGAAAGCCAGGGGAGCGAACGGGAUUAGAUACCCUCGUAGUCCCUGAGCGGGCUGGCAAGGCGCAU
rnacentral:rRNA from 1 species